UAAUGUCUGGGAAACUGCCUGAUGGAGGGGGAUAACUACUGGAAACGGUAGCUAAUACCGCAUAACGUCGCAAGACCAAAGAGGGGGACCUUCGGGCCUCUUGCCAUCGGAUGUGCCCAGAUGGGAUUAGCUAGUAGGUGGGGUAACGGCUCACCUAGGCGACGAUCCCUAGCUGGUCUGAGAGGAUGACCAGCCACACUGGAACUGAGACACGGUCCAGACUCCUACGGGAGGCAGCAGUGGGGAAUAUUGCACAAUGGGCGCAAGCCUGAUGCAGCCAUGCCGCGUGUAUG
rnacentral:rRNA from 1 species